CACAAAGAGGCAACAGCAGGCAAGGAGCCUGGGGCAGUGAAAGGCUUAGUGUGCGUGGGUUUCACCCCACCUCAGUUCUCUGCCAUCCAUCUUCUCAGGCUGUGCGAGAGGAAGAAGGAAAGGCUGGAAGCUGCCCUUGGACAAAACUUCUGGUAUGAUCGGUCUUCUCUGGUGGAUACCCUACAGCAGAGCAAGAAACCAGGAGGAGCCAGCUAGUAGAUGCAUCCUCUGAACCUAUCCUGGCUUCAAGAACCUGGUGGGGCAGCUCUCGAGUCCAUUACCUGCCAUGCCUUGUCUGCAGUGCCUAGAGAAACAAGGGUGUGCUGAAGCCACUGCCGAGUUGUACCUUGUGCUUGGAGCCCCACCCAGAGCUCAGAGCCUUCUACCAGCUGCCAUUGCCAUGGCUAGUCUCCAGGUUCUUCAGCCUUUCACCAUGGACUCAACACCAGUGACUCUUCAAGGAGGCUCCAGGCCUUCAGCACUUGACUGAGGCUCUAUCAAUUGGUCUCCCUUGUUCUGCAGUUUCUAACAUCUUGGGCUGAUCGACUACCAGAUUCUCUGCCUCUCCAGCAUGCAGAAGACCAUUGUUGAAUUACCCAGCCCUUGUGGUGUAAGUCAGUUCAAUAAACUCAC
ensembl:lncRNA